UUCGCGAAGUGAUUUUCGGCCCAGAGACCGCGUAAGCAACGUAAAACCCUACUACAUGUUGAUACGAAACACCUUCGUGUUCUUCGUUCCUCCUCGGCGGCGGAGGUGCCGAUCCGUAUUCAUUUUGUAACAAUCUCUUUUUUGAUUUCAUCUCAUUAUCGCUUUCUCUCAUACUGACGGAGCAAGCGGACGAACAAACGGAGCAGGCGGCCGAGAGCGAUGGAGCAAGCAACAAGCGACGGAGAGCUGAUGAACCAAGUGAUGGGCAGAUCAAGAUGGAUAGCCAUGGAACAAGAAACGAAGAGUGUGAAGAGAUAUAUAUCAAAAGCAUUUCCUACAGUUCAAGCUCUCACAUGGGAGGUCGAUAGGCGCUCGCACAUGGCGCAUUAUGUGCUGCUUCUAUGCUCUUUCAAAGAGCAACUUCAACAACAUGUUCGUGUUCAUGCAAUGGAAGCUGUGAUGGCCUGUUGGGAUAUUGAGCAGUCUCUUCAAAGCUUAACCGGAGUGUUUCCGGGUGAAAGAAUGCGAGCAGAAGCGAUGCUAAUAUGUUUGAUGGGGGUUCAGACGUUUUGGGUUUUUGUCCUUGGAUUCCUACCGAGAGCUAGAGAUCCUUGAUGGUACGUGUUAGACAAGAACUCAAACAUGAGCUCAAACAGGGUUACAAGGAGAAGAUAGUAGCUAGACAUAAGAGAGGAGACACUGGGGAAGAGAAGAGCUGGGAAGUUACCAGGAGACACCAUCUCUGUUCUCAAAGCUGGGUGGCAAUCGCAUUCCAAAUGGUCUUACCCUACUGAGGAAGAUAAGGCUAGGUUGGUGUAGGAGACAGGUUUGCACCUAAAGCUGAUAAACAAUUGGUUCAAUCGGAGAAAGGGGAACUGGCACAGCAAACCAUCUUCCUCCACUGUUUGAAUCCGGAAACUCAGCUAGAGGCAACGCAUCAGCAACACGGGCGAUCAAUGUCAUCUUCACCAUCCAUGCUUAUUCUUCUUCAUUAACAAAGUCAUUGGAAUUGUCAUAAAGUGAUCAAGUUCAUAUGGAUUGUUUAUUAUACUUCUGUUUUGUCCACAAAACGUUUUUUUUUUCUAUUGUAACUGAAGUUUAAUAAUUUUAUACAAAUUAUUUUUUGAAAA